rnacentral:rRNA from 1 species
GGCCUACCAUGGUGGUAACGGGUAACGGGGCGUUAGGGCACGACACCGGAGAGGGAGCCUGAGAAACGGCUACCACAUCCAAGGAUGGCAGCAGGCGCGCAAAUUACCCAAUCCCGACACGGGGAGGUAGUGACAAUAAAUAACAAUACGGGGUUCUUUCGGAUUUCGUAAUUGGAAUGAGUACAAUUUAAAUCUCUUAACGAGGAACAAUUGGAGGGCAAGUCUGGUGCCAGCAGCCGCGGUAAUUCCAGCUCCAAUAGCGUAUAUUAAAGUUGCUGCAGUUAAAAAGCUCGUAGUUGAAUUUCGAGACCAUCAUGUCGGUCGUGCUUCGGUACGUACUGGUAUUGUUGGUUUCUCCCUUCUGACGAACCAUGAUGUCAUUUAUUUGGUGUUGUGGGAAAUCAGGACUGUUACUUUGAAAAAAUUAGAGUGUUUAAAGCAGGCUCACGCUUGAAUACAUUAGCAUGGAAUAAUGAAAUAGGACGUUUGAUUCUAUUUUGUUGGUUUCUAGGAUCGACGUAAUGAUUAAUAGGGAUAGUUGGGGGCAUUAGUAUUCAAUUGUCAGAGGUGAAAUUCUUGGAUUUAUUGAAGACUAACUACUGCGAAAGCAUUUGCCAAGGAUGUUUUUCAUUAAUCAAGAACGAAAGUUAGGGGAUCGAAGACNAUCAGAUACCGUCGUANUCUUAACCNUAAACUAUGCCGACNANGGAUCGGAUGAUGUUAAUUUUUUAAUGACCUCAUUCNGCGCCUUACG